UUUUUUGGGGUCAAAGUGGGAAUAGGCGUGGCACAGUUGUCAAGUACACAGAUUGACCGGCAAACUUUUACUUUCAAAAUGUGGACACCUCCCCCAAAAUGGACAAAUUUUCGGUUCUGCUGCAGAAUGACAGGCUGUCAGUGCCCUUCCUUGGUGCUGUUUUGUCGGAAGGAGACUGCCCAGCCUGCAGCAUGCAUCCAAAAAGUAAAGUAAAGUAAGGGAAACGGAGACCCUAACAGUUUUGUGACUCUCCCUCUGAGCCAUUCUCUGGUCAUUGUCUCAUUUUGGUGGUUUAUAAAUGGAAUGGCCUUUGUUCCUGUUGCUGACAUCCGUUACGUCCUUUACUGCUGCUGCUGCUGGUGCUGAUUCGGCAGUGAGAAAGAGAAAAAUAGGAAGAUGUAGGAGAUGGACAGUCCUUUCGGCCACAAUGAUAAACUGCUGCGUUCUGGUCCACUGGUGAUGUUCGGUGGCUUCGGUUCAUGGACAUUUGGGACUCUAUUUUGUUGUUCUGCUCUGAUGUUUAGUUCAUUAGUUGUAUUGCGGCUUGAGGAUUGAUCACUGGGGUUUCUCUCUUUUAAAUUUCAAUACAUAUCCAUUUUUUGGCAA